rnacentral:snRNA from 1 species
GUGGUUGCUUCAGCAGCACAUUUACUAAAAUUGGAAAGAUUCAGAGAAGAUUAGCAUAGGCCCU